GUGUAUGACAAAUCUGGAUAAACUGAGCGGGCCUAAACUACUGAAUAUGUCAGAACCAUCGCAGCUUAUGACUGAAGACACACGGGCUGCUCUUUAUGUUGCACUCCCGGUUCUUAGUCGAGGAAAGAAAUGGGUCCUGCUGUACAGUACAUGGAGGCAUGGUAUAUCUUUGUCAACUUUGUAUAGAAGAAGUAAUCUUUCCCCCGGGCUAAGUCUGUUGAUCAUAAAGAGGCGGUGUUUGGUGGUUUAGUUGAGGCACCCUUGAAACCGUCAACUAAGAAAAGAUAUUAGGGAUCAAAUGAUACAUUUGUUUUCACAAAUACCCCUGGUUGUCCUGUUAUAUUUCGUCCAACAGGAACUGCAGUUUUUCUCAAUACAGACUUUCCUUGAGAUUAGUAGUGGCAAAAUGGGCGGGUUGAGAAACAUGUGAAAACAAAUUUGGGUCAAAAC